rnacentral:rRNA from 1 species
UAGGCAAAUCCGCUUUGAUAAUGCUGGGAUGUGAUGGGGAGCGAAAUUUAGUAGCGAAGUAGCUGAUUUCACACUGUCAAGAAAAGUCUCUAUCGAGGUUAAAGGUACCCGUACCGCAAACCGACACAGGUGGGUGAGGAGAGUAUCCUAAGGCCAGCGAGAGAACUGUUGUUAAGGAACUCGGCAAAAUGACCCCGUAACUUAGGGAUAAGGGGUGCCACCAUCAGGUGGCCGCAGAGAAUAGGCCCAAGCGACUGUUUACCAAAAACAUAGGUUUCUGCUAAGUCGCAAGACGAUGUAUAGGAGCUGACGCCUGCCCGGUGCUGGAAGGUUAAGGGGAUCUGUUAGAGUAAUCGAAGCAGUGAACUUAAGCCCCAGUAAACGGCGGCCGUAACUAUAACGGUCCUAAGGUAGCGAAAUUCCUUGUCGGGUAAGUUCCG